CGGAGAAGACCGCAUCUUAUGAAAAAGAAGCAGGAAAUAAAAGCGAGUCUAUGUGUAGAAGCCAGAGAUCCAGGGAAUGAUAUACAGAUUUUUGACAUCAGGUUGACGUGGGGGAAGACUCUCAGUCCCAAAUGGCAAACGUACCGGUCCUGUCCACGGCUCAAGGUGGAAAAAUACAUGUGGGUAGGGAAUUCAGAGACUCUCUCCCUCUUCUAGAUGUUCUCCAUGCAAAUGAGUUUGAAUUUGAGGACGACUUUAACCCAAAACUCAUUGAGAAGACAGAAGAAGACUUUUACAGAGGCGCCCCUCCCAGCUGGUUAAACUUUCACAUUAGUGAACAGGCGACAUUAGACGGCACUGGAACUCUCUUUGUUAAACGAGACGGAUAUGAAACACUUAAGAAACAAAUUAAGGAAAAAAGAAAGCUCCCUGCAAUAUCAACUGUUAAACUGUUCCACCAGUCAGGAUGUGGGGGCACCACGAUGGCCAAGCAGGUGCUGUGGGACUUGAGGAAAACCUUUCGCUGUGCUGCUUUAAUAGGCUCUACCUCAGAUAUCACUGAAGUUGCGAUGGAGGUUAUCGAGCUUUUCAUGGCAGGUAAUCGAGGACACCAGAACACUGUGCUGCUGUUACUAAAUGAUGAGCAGAUCCUAGAUAAUCUCCAAAGCAGCAUUAUUAGGAUGAUUGCUGAAAACAACAUGGUUACUUGCAUGCCUGUGGUGAUUUUUCUAAACUGUGUGAGAAA